rnacentral:rRNA from 1 species
AUUGAACGCUGGCGGCAUGCCUUACACAUGCAAGUCGAACGGCAGCACGGGUGCUUGCACCUGGUGGCGAGUGGCGAACGGGUGAGUAAUACAUCGGAACGUACCUUAUCGUGGGGGAUAACGCAGCGAAAGCUGUGCUAAUGCCGCAUACGCCCUGAGGGGGAAAGCGGGGGAUCGAAAGACCUCGCGCGAUUAGAGCGGCCGAUGCCUGAUUAGCUUGUUGGUGGGGUAAAAGCCCACCAAGGCGACGAUCAGUAGCUGGUCUGAGAGGACGAUCAGCCACACUGGGACUGAGACACGGCCCAGACUCCUACGGGAGGCAGCAGUGGGGAAUUUUGGACAAUGGGGGCAACCCUGAUCCAGCAAUGCCGCGUGAGUGAAGAAGGCCUUCGGGUUGUAAAGCUCUUUCGUCAGGGAAGAAACACCGGCUCUAACACAGUCCGGGAAUGACGGUACCUGAAGAAUAAGCACCGGCUAACUACGUGCCAGCAGCCGCCGUAA